CCUACGGGUGGCAGCAGUGAGGAAUAUUGGUCAAUGGGCGCGAGCCUGAACCAGCCAAGUAGCGUGAAGGAAGAAGGUACUGAGUGUUGUAAACCUCUUUUAUAAAGGGAUAAAGUGAGGCACGUGUGCCCUUUUGUGUGUACUUUAUGAAUAAGGAUCGGCUAACUCCGUGCCAGCAGCCGCGGUAAUACGGAGGAUGCGAGCGUUAUCCGGAUUUAUUGGGUUUAAAGGGAGCGUAGUGAGGUUGUUAAGUCAGUGGUGAAAGUGUGGGGCUCAACCCCAGAAGGGCAAUUGAUACUGGCGGGCUUGAGUUCGAGAGAAGUAGGCGGAAUGCGUGGUGUAGCGGUGAAAUGCAUAGAUAUCACGAAGAACUCCGAUUGCGAAGGCAGCAUACCGACUUCACACUGACGCUGAGGCACGAAAGUGUGGGUAUCGAACAGGAUUAGAUACCCGUGUAGUC
rnacentral:rRNA from 1 species